CAAUUGCUCCCUCCAUCCGGAAUUACUUGUCAUCAAAAUGGAUGUGUCUAGAACUAAAAUACAUCUAGAUACAUCCAUUUCAAUGUCAAGUAUUUCCGGACGGAGGGAGUAGAUU
rfam:Triticum aestivum genome assembly, contig: Triticum_aestivum_CS42_TGACv1_scaffold_591788_7BS